AUCACUUGACCUUGUCUUUGUUGAACUAGAAGACAAAGACUUAAGACAGAUGCUAAAAUAAAUCCUCUUUUGCAACCCACAACUCAUUGUUAAGUAUGAGUUUUGAUAUGUACAAGAAGAAAUAUG
ensembl:snoRNA